GUUAUAAAAAUACAUGCAGGCUUUAUGUCCAUGUGCUCGGUAUACUGAUACUUUUUUCUUUACAAGUGUAAAAGCUAUAAAAUAGGCUAUAUAGGGACAUUUUAAAAGUAUAACAAAGAUGGAGGCAUAUUAUUUACAUACUAUUUUAAAAUGAAAGAGGGGUUUCGCUUUAUAUAACGCGUUUAUAUUGUAUAAAUUGCUGGAGGAAACCCAUCGCAAACUCAAAAACAUCUGAUAUUGUUUCAUAUUUACACAAAUUGCCCAUGUAAAAAGGAAUGUUUCUCAAUUCGCGUUCUUUUCUGUACUGGUGUACCAGCUAAUUAAUAUUAACAUUUGCUUUCAUUUCUAGAACACGACAACCAGAACCGCACAACCGCCUCCCAAGGUAUGACUAUACAUGGUGUUAAUAUGGAUUUGAUUUGUCAUCGGAUACUGAUUCCUCCCAUCAGAGAUUGUCUUCAGAUUCCUCCCAUCAGUGAUUGUCUUCAAAUAUGGAUUUGAUCAGUCAUGUAUCAAAUCCAUAUUUGAUACACGCCCGGCAUCGAAGCGGCUGGAGUUGCCUUCGAUGGACUUCUGAGAGCUGCCCGCAGUCGAUGGCCUAAGGUGUUUGUGCUCGAUUUCCCUCCCCGGCUGGCGAGUGAAUUGGCACCGCAACAAUUCCUUCGAGAGGAGUUUCGUCGCGUUGCAGCAAAGAACGAUACGGAUUCGUCCCGGCCAUUGUGUUCGACAAUGAUUGACGACAUGGACGAGAACGGGAACGGAGAUCCACUACCAGGCCCCUGAAAACACUCCAGGCCCCUGUAAAUCGAAGAUAUUGUAAAUAGUGUGAUUCUUUUUAUAUAGUGUGGUGUUGUAAAUAGUGUGGUUUUUUUUAAUUGUAUACUCCAAUAAAAACUCAAACAUCUGA